AAAUACAAUAAUGAGAGGACUGAUGGAUGAACAAUGAUUAACUAAUCUAUAUUUUAUUUGAAAUGAAUAACUUCAAAAUACAAAAUAUAGGAUUAGUCUAUCAUUUUUAUAAAUCAGUUAACACUUAAAUGCCAUGAUUCUAAUAUUGGCAAUGAACUUAUUUGAGUUAAGUGAAAGACUAAUCCUUCCAAUUAUAAAUUGGGGGGAUUUUUUA
rnacentral:sRNA from 1 species